CAUUCCCUUUGGGCCUGUCAUUACCUCUGCCUCACCUUGACUCUCCCCAGGGCCCCGUGAUCAAGGUGAACAGCAAGCAACGCUAUGCUUCAAACGCGGUGUCAGAGGCCCUGAUCCGAGAGGUGGCCAACAAAGUCAAGGUCCCCCUGCAGGAUCUCAUGGUCCGGAAUGACACCCCCUGUGGAACCACCAUUGGACCUAUCUUGGCUUCUCGGCUGGGGCUGCGGGUGCUGGAUUUAGGCAGCCCCCAA
rnacentral:ncRNA from 2 species